UUUGAUCCUGGCUCAGAUUGAACGCUGGCGGCAGGCCUAACACAUGCAAGUCGAGCGGAUGAGUGGAGCUUGCUCCAUGAUUCAGCGGCGGACGGGUGAGUAAUGCCUAGGAAUCUGCCUAUUAGUGGGGGACAACGUUUCGAAAGGAACGCUAAUACCGCAUACGUCCUACGGGAGAAAGCAGGGGACCUUCGGGCCUUGCGCUAAUAGAUGAGCCUAGGUCGGAUUAGCUAGUUGGUGAGGUAAUGGCUCACCAAGGCGACGAUCCGUAACUGGUCUGAGAGGAUGAUCAGUCACACUGGAACUGAGACACGGUCCAGACUCCUACGGGAGGCAGCAGUGGGGAAUAUUGGACAAUGGGCGAAAGCCUGAUCCAGCCAUGCCGCGUGUGUGAAGAAGGUCUUCGGAUUGUAAAGCACUUUAAGUUGGGAGGAAGGGCAUUAACCUAAUACGUUAGUGUUUGACGUACCGACAG
rnacentral:rRNA from 1 species